CAGAGGGGCCGGGAUCACCCCGGGAGCCGCAGAGGGGCCGGGAUCCGCUCCGGGAGCCGCAGAGGGGCCGGGAUCCCCCCGGGAGCCGCGGCAGGGACAGCUCCAGGCUGUCCAUGAGAUCGUGCCCGGGAUGAUGGAGUUGCCUCUCUGGAUGUGUGCUGAGCUCUGGCUGCAGGGGACUGUCAGGCCUCGAUGAUGGAGUUGCCUCUCUGGAUGUGUGCUGAGCUCUGGCUGCAGGGGACUGUCAGGCCUUGCCCGCAGUUCCAUGUGGAAUUCCUGCUGGAAUAGCCUCCCAGUGCCUCACAGAGCCCAGAUCUUCCCCUGCAGAGCUGCCGCUUCAACGCCAGGUUUGCCAGGAAGCAGCCAAGGGUCCAGGUGUGCUCAGCGGGAUCAGGACAAGGACAGGUUGAUAUUGCACAGAAUUUGCUGUUUAUAACCCUCCUCCCCCAGCCCCGCUGGUGUCCCUGGGGGGCACUGGAGCGAGUUCCCUGGAAUUGAGCUGAUUCUCCCCCUGGGUUGGGCUCCAGGGGGUGUGUUCCCCCAGGAGAAGGCGGUGGCCGGAUGCGCUCCCGGCACGGGCUGAGGCCUGGGAGACAAAUCCAUCUUGUGCCCUCUGGAAGUGCUGGCCUGGAGCUGCUCCAUCCCUGCUGCCACGAGCUGUGCUGGGAGUGCCUCCGGAGCAGGGCAGUGCAGGGCACAGCUCAUCCGUGCCCUGGAAAGAGGAAGCGCAAGGAGGGCCAGGUCGCUGCCUGGUGCUCCGUCCUCCUCCCGCCCCGCGUUCCCUGCCCGGCUGGGAGCGCACAGGGAGCCCCGGGAACAUUCCUGGCAGGAAGCAGGAGCUGCUGAGGGCUCCGUCCAGCUCCGAGCCCAAGAAGUGGCCCUGACCUGAGACCCCCUCGGCAUUUUGGGUUCCAAACACUCACCUGGAGGAGACACCCCACUGCAGGUGGGGCUGGACAGCCACCCUCGACCAACGCCUGUGCCUCGGAGCGAGGGAACCCUCUGGACUCAUCAGGCUCCUUUGUCCCUGGAAAGGGUUGUCACACGAGCACCUCGACAGCCGGUGGGGAAAUCCCGGACAGGGCAGGAAAACCUCCUGGAGCGCAGCAAUAAUGAGUUUGUGCCUGUCCCCAGCCAGGCACAGCCCAGCCAGCCAAGCUCCCUCCACAGAGGGAGCUGCAGAGAUUUAAUAAAGGUGGAUUUCCCGACAGGA